rnacentral:rRNA from 1 species
UACGAAGGGGGCUAGCGUUGCUCGGAAUCACUGGGCGUAAAGCGCACGUAGGCGGAUUGCUAAGUCAGGGGUGAAAUCCUGGAGCUCAACUCCAGAACUGCCUUUGAUACUGGCGAUCUCGAGUCCGGGAGAGGUGAGUGGAACUGCGAGUGUAGAGGUGAAAUUCGUAGAUAUUCGCAAGAACACCAGUGGCGAAGGCGGUUCUCUGGGACGGUACUGACGCUGAGACGCGAAAGCGUGGGGAGCCGAACAGG